rnacentral:rRNA from 1 species
UACGAAGGGGACUAGCGUUGUUCGGAAUUACUGGGCGUAAAGCGCGCGUAGGCGGCUUUGCAAGUCGGGUGUGAAAUCCCCAGGCUUAACCUGGGAACUGCAUUCGAGACUGCAUUGCUAGAGUAUGGGAGAGGGAAGUGGAAUUUCCGGUGUAGCGGUGAAAUGCGUAGAUAUCGGAAGAACAUCGAGUGGCGAAAGCGACUUCCUGGACCAAUACUGACGCUCAUGUGCGAAAGCGUGGGGAG